GUCCCUAAAAGCUAUCCUUUUACCGACGCUUUACUAUUCAUGUGCGUACCCAAAUUCUCCAUUUCCGGUUCUGGUUCUAAAUGGAUCUUGAAGGCAAAUAAGAGGGCUCGGUUUGGGUCCAUCACCCUAACGAAGGGGAUUCGAAGUUCUGGGGAUUAAUGUAUCCAAUUCAGCAUCCACCUUCAUCGCGAUUCGCCUCCACCGCUGAAGGUGGUGUUUACGAAGCCUUGCCCUCAAUUUCGAGAAGAGGAAGCUGAUGAUGUAAUGAUGUUGGUUCCACCUCUAUUCUCGUUGAAGAAUACUCCGGAGGAGAUAGUGCUGAAUCCACCGUCUAAUUUAUUCUCCAAAAAGUUGCAGAAGAGUGUUGUGGAACACCGCUGGGAGGUAGUAUCCUUACUGUGAAACUAUUUUCUUUGUUAUUUUAUUGUGAGAAUGGAAACUAUCAUUUUAAUGUCCUGUGUGUUAGAGGAAAAUAGCUUUUGGAAUUAUUAUGCAUUACCUGUUACUAUUAGUGCUAUUGCUAGUUUCUUCUUCUUCUUGUUUUUCCUCUUCUUUUUCAGCUGAACAUAGAUAACCCAACUAGAACAGAUACUAAUGCGUUGUUGGUGUAGGCUCCCUUUGAUGCAUAACUAGAACAGAUACUGAAUUAUGCCACUCGAGUCGCAGAUAGUUUUUUGUCCACCGGGAAUUAUGCCCUUAAUGUUUCAAUCCAACGUUACAAACCCUAUGGAGUUCAAUGCCAACAGUUUGGCCAGUUGCAAAUGGUGAAUUCUGUCUCACAAACCCCACAAUCUAAUUUGGAGGUAAAUUCUCUUCACCUAAGCAGUCCUCAGGAAAGACCUUCCAGUGAGUUCUAAGAGGUAGAGUUUCAUUCUGGGCAUGAGCGUUUCUAAGCUAAUCAACAUCAUAUUUCUUCUUUUUAUGUCAAGCUUGGCCAACUUCAUAUGUUUGCAGGUAAGUGUGCAUUCACUUUUAUAUUAGUUAUUAUGUAUUCGACCUACUUAAUUUGUUGUUUUUCUUUGGUAUAUGAGAGUGACCACAGAAUUGCUUUGUAUAGAAAAUAAAGUUUCUGUACUAUAGGUUGCAGUGACAUUAUUUCUUUUACUUCAAGGUGAGCAUGGUUGAUUAUCUACACUUCCCUGGCUAUAUAAGCUGAAUAAAUAUUCUUGAUUUUCUACAAAUUGUGAUUUCCCUGGCUAUUCAAGGUGAGCAUUGCUUUGUGAUUUUGGUUGCUCCAGCAAAAAGUAGGUUCAAGUAUGCCAUGUACACCACAAGCUGAUUUUCCUUUUGUUUAAAUUUAUCUAACUGCCCCCAACGGUUGUAACCGUUGGGGCAUAUAUUAAGCUUUCCAUGUUUGAUAUAUCUUGGUUAGUUGGUUAUGUGUACUUGUGUAUCAGAUUAAGCUUUCCAUGUUUGAUAUCGUCACAUGGAAAACAAAUACAUUAGCUCAACCUGACUUACCUUCUUCUAUCUGCAGCCGAAAUUGCAAUGUUCGAUGGAUACAUUGUCGUCUACAAAUUUGUCCAGGACCUGCACUUUUUUAUCACUGCAGGUGAUGAUGAAAAUGUACUCAUCUUAGCAACAGUUCUUCAGGGCUUCUAUGAUGCUGUCAUCAAUCUUCUCAGCUACACAACAGAAGUUGGAGAUGGAUGGUGAAGGUGGGAAGAAGAAGCCAGAGACGUGACGAAGGAAAGGCUUGCAACGUUGAUAAGACAUGAGUUCUCUGUAGUCUUUAUUGUUCAAGUCUACUUAAUCAUGAUUGUUGGAUUUGUUAAUAAAACAUGUGUCAAACACUUGUUAUUUGUUUAAUAGAAUUGCGUUUAAAUUUAUUUACUAAUGUUAUUAUUUGUUUUAUUUUAA